GAUGGUUUUAGGACCCUGGGGAGCCUUUAAAGGGAGAGCAGAAGCAGCGCUCUCUCUCUCUCACCUGCAGAAGUGCAGACACUCAGCAGAAGGCACACCAAACAUUUGUUGUGAAAAGCAGCGGCAGCAGUUGGGGCAGAUUCAGUGUGGACAUUGUGUGAGGUUUGAUGAUUUAUCUGUCUCUGACAAAAGAAUAACUGCUGGUCCGGGUGCUAGUUAAAAACAACUUUAAAGGGCGACAACCUAUUAACUGCUGGUCGGGGUUUAGUAAAGCUACUUGAAGGUACAGCAUGUUGAAUGGUGUAUUUUAUUUAAGUAUUGUAUCUUAACCUGUGGAACAAAACUUAACACUCAUGUCUGUGUUCAUAGGACUGUCUGCGAGAGAAGUGACUGUCACUGUUUUUUUUCCCUCCUAAUACUUAGUUUCAUUUGGGCCUUCUUGUUUUCUUUUAUUUGUUUUGGUUGUUAUUUUAGUUGGGCUAAGUGCAAUAUUUACCAGGCGCCAGACAGCGCCUUAGUGGCCACCGGUUUGGGGGAAGCUAUCGCAUUAACAUUUAGUGAUCCCUUUUGUUUUGUGUGCUUAUAU